AACGCGAAGAACCUUACCUGGGCUCGAAAUGCACAAGAAUCCGGCAGAAACGUCGGCGCCUAGCAAUAGGCUUGUGUAUAGGUGCUGCAUGGCUGUCGUCAGCUCGUGUCGUGAGAUGUUGGGUUAAGUCCCGCAACGAGCGCAACCCUUAUCUUCAGUUGCUACCAUUUAGUUGAGCACUCUGACGAAACCGCCUCGGAUAACGGGGAGGAAGGUGGGGAUGACGUCAAGUCCUCAUGGCCUUUAUGUCCAGGGCUACACACGUGCUACAAUGGCCGGUACAAACCGCUGCAACCCCGCGAGGGUGAGCUAAUCGGAAAAAGCCGGCCUCAGUUCGGAUUGGAGUCUGCAACUCGACUCCAUGAAGCUGGAAUCGCUAGUAAUCGUGGAUCAGCAUGCCACGGUGAAUACGUUCCCGGGCCUUGUACACACCGCGCAUA
rnacentral:rRNA from 1 species